AUUGAACGCUGGCGGUAGGCCUAACACAUGCAAGUCGAACGCGAAAGUCCUUCGGGAUGAGUAGAGUGGCGGACGGGUGAGUAACGCGUAGGAAUCUAUCCUGUAGUGGGGGAUAACGUUUCGAAAGGAACGCUAAUACCGCAUACGCCCCAAGGGGGAAAGCGGGGGAUCUUCGGACCUCGUGCUAUAGGAGGAGCCUGCGUCGGAUUAGCUAGUUGGUGAGGUAAAGGCUCACCAAGGCGACGAUCCGUAGCUGGUCUGAGAGGAUGAUCAGACACACCGGAACUGAGACACGGUCCGGACUCCUACGGGAGGCAGCAGUGGGGAAUAUUGCGCAAGGGGCGAAAGCCUGACGCAGCCAUACCGCGUGUGUGAAGAAGGCCUUCGGGUUGUAAAGCACUUUCAGUGGGGAGGAAAAGCUGGUGGCUAAUAUCCAUCGGCCGUGACGCUACCCACAGAAGAAGCACCGGCUAAUUCCGUGCCAGCAGCCGCAGUAAGAC
rnacentral:rRNA from 1 species